AGUGAACGCUGGCGGUAGGCCUAACACAUGCAAGUCGAACGGCAGCACAGUAAGAGCUUGCUCUUACGGGUGGCGAGUGGCGGACGGGUGAGGAAUACAUCGGAAUCUACUUUUUCGUGGGGGAUAACGUAGGGAAACUUACGCUAAUACCGCAUACGACCUACGGGUGAAAGCAGGGGAUCUUCGGACCUUGCGCGAUUGAAUGAGCCGAUGUCGGAUUAGCUAGUUGGCGGGGUAAAGGCCCACCAAGGCGACGAUCCGUAGCUGGUCUGAGAGGACGAUCAGCCACACUGGAACUGAGACGCGGUCCAGACUCCUACGGGAGGCAGCAGUGGGGAAUAUUGGACAAUGGGCGCAAGCCUGAUCCAGCCAUACCGCGUGUGUGAAGAAGGCCUUCGGGUUGUAAAGCCCUUUUGUUGGGAAAGAAAAGCAGCAGGUUAAUACCCCGCUGUUCUGACGGUACCCAAAGAAUAAGCACCGGCUAACUUCGUG
rnacentral:rRNA from 1 species